AGGACGAACGCUGGCGGCGUGCUUAACACAUGCAAGUCGAGCGGAAAGGCCCUUCGGGGUACUCGAGCGGCGAACGGGUGAGUAACACGUGAGCAACCUGCCCUUAGCUCCGGGAUAGCUCCGGGAAACCGGAAUUAAUACCGGAUACGACCACGGCCGACAUCUGCUGUGGUGGAAAGGAUUCCGGCUAAGGAUGGGCUCGCGGCCUAUCAGCUAGUUGGUGGAGUAACGGCCCACCAAGGCGACGACGGGUAGCCGGCCUGAGAGGGCGACCGGCCACACUGGGACUGAGACACGGCCCAGACUCCUACGGGAGGCAGCAGUGGGGAAUAUUGCGCAAUGGGCGAAAGCCUGACGCAGCGACGCCGCGUGGGGGAUGAAGGCCUUCGGGUUGUAAACCCUUUCAGCAGGGACGAAGCGAAAGUGACGGUACCUGCAGAAGAAGCGCCGGCUAACUACGUGCCAGCAGCCGC
rnacentral:rRNA from 1 species